rnacentral:misc_RNA from 1 species
GAUGAAGAACGUAGCGAAAUGCGAUACUUGGUGUGAAUUGCAGAAUCCCGUGAACCAUCGAGUCUUUGAACGCAAGUUGCGCCCGAAGCCAUUAGGCCGAGGGCACGCCUGCCUGGGCGUCACACGUCGUUGCCCCCCCAUCUACUCCUUCGGGAUUGCGGGGGGCGGAUGAUGGCCUCCCGUGCGCCUCGUCGCGCCGUUGGCAUAAAUGCCAAGUCCUCGGCGACGCACGCCACGACAAUCGGUGGUUGCGAAACCUCGGUUGCCCGUCGUGUGCGGUCGUCGCGCAUCGAGGGCUCGAAAAAAUUGCCGGGCUCCGGCUCGGCUUUCAACGCGACCCCAGGUCAGGCGGGGUUACCCGCUGAAUUUAAGCAUAUCAAUAAGCGGAGGA